AACGAGCAAACGUGUCGAUGAAAACUGACUGAGAAAACAGAGACAGCACGAGACUGGAAGAGGCGUAGGACUCGGCCUCGCAGGAUUCUGGAACCCAGUCCUGGGUGGGGCUGACCACGCUUUACGGAACAUCCUGGUACCUGGUACCUGGUACCUCCUGGUACUGUGUAGUCUAUCAAGGAAACAUGCGCGUAGAAGAUCCUUCGCUCCACGUUCAAGAUAAGGAAUGAAUCCCUUGCGGAAUACCAGUGUAUCUUUUGCAUGUGCAAUAUCUGAAGACUUUGGGGUUGUCCUGCCGGCACCCGACCCGACUGGCUGGCACCCAAAGCGGGUCCUCCAACGAUCACGGGCCGAGAAGAGGAUAACCUGCCAUCUGCCAGCUCCAAAUUGUCAAUCCAAUCGGCAUGGGGCCAGGCAGGUAUGAUCCCCGACAUACAUGAUCCUUUGUGCCUAUCGGUGUACAACAACCAGGAGUGCCGGGAGGCAGCUAUGAAGCCACCCCAGAGGGUCUGAAAGAGCUGUAAAUCUAUCUACACGCAGAAAAACCCAAGUGCUUCGCCAUUUCCCGAUCCACGGCUAUAACUUUCGAGGGGAUAAGAACUCAAAUCUUCGAUGUUCCAACAGGUGUUGGAAGUACGGACAGUUACGGAUAGUUAUGGUAUAGUUCUGUUAUUGCACAGCCUUCGCUAUAAUAUUGGACUAUUUCCUAUUUCCUGUCUAUACUCCAUCCGAUUUUCGAUAUUAAAUCAGUCAUUAAUUUGUAUGCAAAA
rnacentral:sRNA from 1 species